GACGAACGCUGGCGGCGUGCUUAACACAUGCAAGUCGAACGGAAAGGCCCUGCUUGCAGGGUACUCGAGUGGCGAACGGGUGAGUAACACGUGGGUGAUCUGCCCUGCACUUCGGGAUAAGCUUGGUAAACUGGGUCUAAUACCGGAUAGGAGCCAUCUUUAGUGUGGUGGUUGGAAAGUUUUUUCGGUGUAGGAUGAGCUCGCGGCCUAUCAGCUUGUUGGUGGGGUAAUGGCCUACCAAGGCGGCGACGGGUAGCCGGCCUGAGAGGGUGUACGGCCACAUUGGGACUGAGAUACGGCCCAGACUCCUACGGGAGGCAGCAGUGGGGAAUAUUGCACAAUGGGCGCAAGCCUGAUGCAGCGACGCCGCGUGGGGGAUGAAGGCCUUCGGGUUGUAAACUCCUUUCGCUAGGGACGAAGCUUUUUGUGACGGUACCUAGAUAAGAAGCACCGGCUAACUACGUG
rnacentral:rRNA from 1 species